rnacentral:rRNA from 1 species
GACGAACGCUGGCGGCGUGCCUAAUACAUGCAAGUAGAACGCUGAAGAGAGGAGCUUGCUCUUCUUGGAUGAGUUGCGAACGGGUGAGUAACGCGUAGGUAACCUGCCUUGUAGCGGGGGAUAACUAUUGGAAACGAUAGCUAAUACCGCAUAACAAUGGAUGCCACAUGUCAUUUAUUUGAAAGGGGCAAUUGCUCCACUACAAGGUGGACCUGCGUUGUAUUAGCUAGUAGGUGAGGUAAUGGCUCACCUAGGCGACGAUACAUAGCCGACCUGAGAGGGUGAUCGGCCACACUGGGACUGAGACACGGCCCAGACUCCUACGGGAGGCAGCAGUAGGGAAUCUUCGGCAAUGGGGGCAACCCUGACCGAGCAACGCCGCGUGAGUGAAGAAGGUUUUCGGAUCGUAAAGCUCUGUUGUAAGUCAAGAACGGGUGUGAGAGUGGAAAGUUCACACUGUGACGGUAGCUUACCAGAAAGGGACGGCUAACUACGUG